rnacentral:ncRNA from 1 species
AGAAUUUCUAUGAAGAGAACACAUUGUGGGUGGUCAACUGGCAGCGAGUUAGCGAUUUGGUGAGAGGCUAAUCAGAUUCCAUUAACAAUAUCAUCUCAGAGGUGCCAAGUUGAAUUCAAUUAGAUUUGGUCGGUUGCAAAGCCGUUAUUAAGUUUAAGGAAAAUGGAUUAAUUUCAUUUUUGAAUUUGGGUGGUACCACGAAGACUUCGUCCCUUAA